rnacentral:rRNA from 1 species
AGAGUUUGAUCAUGGCUCAGGAUGAACGCUAGCUACAGGCUUAACACAUGCAAGUCGAGGGGAAACGACAUCGAAGGCUUGCUUUUGAUGGGCGUCGACCGGCGCACGGGUGAGUAACGCGUAUCCAACCUGCCCAUCACUUGGGGAUAACCUUGCGAAAGUAAGACUAAUACCCAAUGACGUCUCUAGAAGACAUCUGAAAGAGAUUAAAGAUUUAUCGGUGAUGGAUGGGGAUGCGUCUGAUUAGCUUGUUGGCGGGGUAACGGCCACCAAGGCGACGAUCAGUAGGGGUUCUGAGAGGAAGGUCCCCACAUUGGAACUGAGACAACGGUCCAAACUCUACGGGAGGCA